rnacentral:rRNA from 1 species
AUUGAACGCUGGCGGCAGGCUUAACACAUGCAAGUCGAGCGGGGGAAGGUAGCUUGCUACCGGACCUAGCGGCGGACGGGUGAGUAAUGCUUAGGAAUCUGCCUAUUAGUGGGGGACAACAUCUCGAAAGGGAUGCUAAUACCACAUACGUCCUACGGGAGAAAGCAGGGGAUCUUCGGACCUUGCGCUAAUAGAUGAGCCUAAGUCGGAUUAGCUAGUUGGUGGGGUAAAGGCCUACCAAGGCGGCGAUCUGUAGCGGGUCUGAGAGGAUGGACCGCCACGCUGGGACUGAGACACGGCGCAGACUCCUACGGGAGGCAGCAGUGGGGAAUAUUGGACAAUGGGGGGAACCCUGAUCCAGCCAUGCCGCGUGUGUGAAGAAGGCCUUAUGGUUGUAAAGCACUUUAAGCGAGGAGGAGGCUACUCUAGUUAAUACCUAGGGAUAGUGGACGUUACUCGCAGAAUAAGCACCGGCUAACUCUGUGCCAGCAGCCGCCGUAA